UUCCCCUGCCUCGCUCUGCGGCCUCCCGGUGUGCCUUUGGCACGCUGCCCUGGCUGUGAGGGCCGCAGCUGGGACGGGGUCCGCACUGUGCCCAGGGGCCAUCGCAGCAGGGCCAUAUGUGGGAUUAUGUGGGUGCUGAGUGCUUUUUGUGUGUGUUUUGAGGCACAGAAUCUGCGUUUGGGUUGGAAAGGAUUUUUAAAGCUCAUCUACUCUAAUCCCUCUGCAAUAAGCAGCAGAGCAGGAACGUCUUCAACUCGGUCAGGUUGCUCUGAGCCCUGUGUGUCCUGACCUUGAAUGUUUCUGGUACGGGGCACCAACCACCCCUCUGGGCAACCUGUGACCUUCCCUGUAAAAACUUCUUCCCUACCUCUAGUCUAGAUCUCCCCUCUUUUAGUUUAAAACCAUAACCCCUUGUCCUGUCACUACAGGCCCUGCCAGAAAGUCCGUCCCCAUGUUUCUUACAGGCCCCCUUUAGGCACUGGAAGCUGCUGUGAGGUGCUCCCCCCCGUUCUCUCAGCCUGUCUCCACAGGAGAGGUGCUCCAGCCCUCAGAACAUCUUCGUGUCCCUCCUGCGGGCUGGCUCCAGCGGGAGACGCUCUGCCUCGGGUUUGCGAGCUCCUCCGUCCAAUUUGGACACAGAAACCUUUGAAAGAGAAGCUGGAAUUCGUGUGCGAGAGUCGUGUCCGCAGCUGUAAGGAACACGCUAAGGCAGUCGGCCACCGAACAGCAGGGGAGUUUGCUGAGGACCUUUUCCCGGGGUUCUUGCCUAUCGAGUGAUGUGUUUGGACAUCGAGACAGGAGCUGGAACAACACUCACACUGAAAGUGUGCUUGUGUUCAGAAUUUAGGACAAAAUGAAGCUAUGGGAAGCUGCUGUCCUUCUUGACUAAAAUCAAUCACAACUUUUUAGCUUAUAUGCUUUAGACCACAACUAAGUGGCUCUUCGUCCCUCUCCCCCUCUUCUGUCCAGGAAGAAGAAAUGCAAUAAAAACCUGACUUUUAUGUUUUUGAGUUGAAAGCUUUCUGUUCUUAACUAUGGUCUUAGAAUGGUUUCGUUUCAUAUGCUUGCUGUUUUCGUUUUGUCACUGUGGUACAUACAUGUAAAAAAAGGUCUGUCAUUGCUUCAUGCUCUGCAUCGUAGCAGAAAACAUCAUGUGGUAAUCGUGUGCAAGCCCAAAAAAACUUUACUAAAUCAGUUCACAGUCUGAAGUUCAUUCAUAUCACCUUAUCCUCAUUAAAAGCCCUCGCUGGCAGUAAUGAAUUUGGAAAAAUGCCAGUAAUGGAAUUAGCCAAGUAGAUGGUGAGCUGUGUUAAGACCCUGAAUGACAACUGUAGCGUCUCCUAUUAUAUGCAAAUAGAGCUGAAUUUUUUCCAUCCUGCUCUUUUGUGCUUUUUUUUAAAUUUCACUCAGGCUUUAUGCCUUUAGAGUUGUAAGCUCUUUGGGAGCAGGGAUUACUGUAACUUACAUCAGUAGAAUGCCUAAGCAAGCUGGAUCUCAGUUUGAUGCUAUUGAAACAUAAAUUAUUGAAAUUCUACAGUAUCCAGUCAUGGAGAGUGAAAUAUUCCACAAUAAGAAAAGGCGAGACAAAAAAGCCUUUUACUGCUCUUUUCAUGGUCUGGAAAUCAAGUGCGGAAUUUGAAUAAGCAUGAAGGGAAAUUUUGGCAGAGCUGAGGCCUGGAGAGGUAUUUUUUUCAUCAUCAGCUCUGCAAUAUGCAUUAGAAGAGACCGUGUCAGCAGCCCCCUUGCCGUUAGCGACUGUUGCCACUCUGAGAACCAUCCCCACAAGACAGAUAAUUUUCAGCAGUUUCAGUAGCAGCAAUAAAGCUAAUAAUCCUCUUCACUGUGAUAAAAACUACCUGCAUGAAAGCAAGGUACUUCAGAGCACACAACUCGCAUUCCUCCUCUCUUCCCAUUGUUUAAUUUUGUUAAGUUUAAACCUGAUGCUUGUUUUACUUCAUGCCUUUCUAAUUAAAUAUAGUGUGCCAAGAAAUA